GUGGACAUUCUCUCUUUCUCCCCUGACCCAUCUGUCUAUCUCCUCAUUUGAAUUCCAUGCUGUCACAGUUACCAGCCCUUUCAAGCUUAACAUCCUUAUCAUUUAUCGCCCUCCGGGUUCCCUUGGAGAGUUCAUCAAUGAGCUUGACGCCUUGAUAAGUUCCUUUCCUGAGGAUGGCUCACCUCUCACAGUUCUGGACCAUUUCCGGAGACCUUCUCCCCUACCUCACCUCGCUCAUCAACGCAUCCUUGACCGCUGGCUACGUCCCUUCCGUCUUCAAGAGCGCGAGAGUUGCACCCCUUCUGAAAAUACCUACACUCGAUCCCUCCG
rnacentral:lncRNA from 1 species